AUGAAGCUGGAGUUACUAGUAAUCGCAGAUCAGAAUGCUGCGGUGAAUGCGUUCCCGGGCCUUGUACACACCGCCCGUCACACCAUGAGAGUCGGGAACACCCGAAGUCCGUAGUCUAACUUUCACGAGAGGACGCGGCCGAAGGUGGGUUCGAUAAUUGGGGUGAAGUCGUAACAAGGUAUC
rnacentral:rRNA from 1 species